rnacentral:tRNA from 1 species
GAGGGUGUAGCUCAAGUGGUAGAGCGUGUGCUUAGCAUGCACAAGGUCCUGGGUUCAAUCCCCAGUACCUCCA